rnacentral:tRNA from 1 species
ACACCGAUGGUGAAGUGGUUAUCAUGCUUGCCUUCCAUUCCAGGACCAAUUAGCUUAGGUAAGCAAGCGGCACGGGUUCGAUUCCCGUUCGGUGUA